rnacentral:rRNA from 1 species
AGUGAAUAGAUACCCUGGUAGUCCUAGCCGUAAACGAUACUCGCUAGGUGUUGGCCACGGUGCGACCGUUGUCGGUGCCGUAGGGAAAGCCGUGAAACGAGCCGCCUGGGAAGUACGGCCGCAAGGCUGAAACUUAAAGGAAUUGGCGGGGGAGCACCACAACGGGUGGAGCUUGCGGUUUAAUUGGAUUCAACGCCGGAAAUCUUACCGGGACCGACAGCAAUAUGAAGGCCAGGCUGAAGACUUUGCCGGAUUAGCUGAGAGGUGGUGCAUGGCCGUCGUCAGUUCGUACUGUGAAAGCAUCCUGUUAAGUCAGGCAACGAGCGAGACCCACGCCCACAGUUGCCAGCGUACUCUCCGGAGUGACGGGUACACUGUGGGGACCGCCGCUGCUAAAGCGGAGGAAGGAAUGGGCAACGGUAGGUCAGUAUGCCCCGAAUAUCCCGGGCUACACGCGAGCUACAAUGGUUGGUACAAUGGGUAUCUACCCCGAAAGGGGAUGGAAAUCUCCUAAAGCCAAUCUUAGUUCGGAUUGAGGGCUGCAACUCGCCCUC